CCCUUAGAUGUUCUGGGCCGCACGCGCGCUACACUGAUGCAUUCAACGAGUUUCUUCCUGGUCCGAGAGGAAUGGGUAACCUUUUGAAAGUGCAUCGUGAUAGGGAUAGACUAUUGCAAUUAUUGGUCUUCAACGAGGAAUUCCUAGUAGACGUAGUUCAUCAGACUGCAUCGAUUACGUCCCUGCCCUUUGUACACACCGCCCGUCGCUCCAACCGAUUGAAUGCUCAGGUGAGCCAUUCGGACCUUCAUCAUGCCGGUUUCCGGUUUUGAUGAGGGAAAGUCUUGCGAACCUUAUCAUUUAGAGGAAGGAGAAGUCGUAACA
rnacentral:rRNA from 1 species